GUAGAAUCAGAUCCUCAUAACUGUUUCUUUCAUUCGUCAACUCCCUGCUUUUCCAAAAGACAUUAACCCUUUACAUUUCUCUGAUUCUUACAAAUCUCAACCACUGGAAGGUUAAUUGGCUAUAAACUCUCACCAUCUUAAAUUUCAUGUGGUUUUCAAUAAGUAACAAAUCAAAGGCCAACUGAAUGACGGGACCAAAUGCGCUAUGCCAGUUUUGACCUCGGUCAUAGCUGAUCGACUUCCCUACUUUCUGCCACAUAAUAUAAAAACGUAACAGCUGUUACCAUUACGUUGCGGACACUUGGCAUGUGAAGCUUGUUUUAAGUUUUGGGGAAUAAUUAAUGUCCUGAAAAGGGUGAACAAAGUUUUGAUAUGUGAAUUGUCACGUUGUCAGUUUGCUCUACAUGUAGAACUUGACGUCUUGACGAAAAUGAAUUCUGUUUCUAUA